UACGGAGGGUGCAAACGUUGCUCGGAAUCAUUGGGCGUAAAGCGCACGUAGGCGGCUCGUUAAGUCGGAUGUGAAAGCCCCGGGCUCAACUCGGGAAAGUGCAUUCGAAACUGCCGGGCUUGAGUGUGGGAGAGGUGAGUGGAAUUCCUGGUGUAGCGGUGAAAUGCGUAGAUAUCAGGAGGAACACCUGUGGCGAAAGCGGCUCACUGGACCAUAACUGACGCUGAUGCACGAAAGCUAGGGGAGCAAAAGGG
rnacentral:rRNA from 1 species